GCAAGGAGGACUUCCAUUCUUUCAUGUUACUGCAUAUGCCUUCAAGCAUUUAAGUCAACAUUGAGCAGUAUUGCUUCCUGCAUGAAUGUCUUUCAAGCAGCCCUCCCAUGCACAGUGGAUCCUGUGAUAUUAAASAAUUCCAUCAUCCAGAGGAUGUGGCCGAUUUUGCACGUGACAGGAAUGGUAGCUCCGAGGCUUGCCUGCUGCUGGGUGGCUGUGUUCCCUCUAUGCCGGACGUAUCUCAGUGCUGUAAAACACGUGUCCCUGUUUUGCUUCCUAAAGAGAUGCAUCUGCUGCUGUCAGCUUCCAGCUUCCUUGAGCCGAGGGAGGAGGCAGCACUGUCGCUCAAGCAGAGAUCUAGAAAGCCAGGAGUGCCGUAACUGCAGACAUCCAGACCACCGGUGAUGUCCUGGUAAGCAGACUAGGAAGCACCUGCCUUGCAUUUCAGCAGCAUGAACUGACAUUUCACCCCUGACUUUUUUUUUUUAGCCCCUUAGUGUCAGGUGUUUACGAAUUUUUUUCGGUUACUAACUUAAUCAGAAUCAGCUCACAGAACGCCUCUCUCUUCUGUAGUGAUUUCCAUGAGCAGAUCUCUGAGCACUUUACAGAGGAGCUCAGCUUCCCACCAGCGUUGAGCGCAGGGGAGACUGUCACCGGGCGGGGGUCGAAGGGAGUCUUCAUCAGCGUUAUCCAGCAGCAGAGCAGAAAUGGUGGGGACCAAAACUGGCGGCUUCGGCGGCCCGGUCCAGGCCUCCCUCUCCACACCACCGGUAAAAUUCUAGAUUU
rnacentral:lncRNA from 1 species